rnacentral:rRNA from 1 species
UACGAAGGGGACUAGCGUUGUUCGGAAUCACUGGGCGUAAAGCGUGCGUAGGCGGUUGGUUAAGUCUGCUGUGAAAGCCCUGGGCUCAACCUGGGAACUGCAGUGGAUACUGGCCAGCUCGAGUGUGAUAGAGGAUGGUGGAAUUCCUGGUGUAGCGGUGAAAUGCGCAGAUAUCAGGAAGAACACCUAUGGCGAAGGCAGCUCUCUGGGCCAUUACUGACACUGAGAAGCGAAAGCAUGGGGAGCGAACAGG